AGUCGAGCGAACGGACGAGAAGCUUGCUUCUCUGAUGUUGGCGGCGGACGGGUGAGUAACACGUGGAUAACCUACCUAUAAGACUGGGAUAACUUCGGGAAACCGGAGCUAAUACCGGAUAAUAUUUUGAACCGCAUGGUUCAAAAGUGAAAGACGGUCUUGCUGUCACUUAUAGAUGGAUCCGCGCUGCAUUAGCUAGUUGGUAAGGUAACGGCUUACCAAGGCAACGAUGCAUAGCCGACCUGAGAGGGUGAUCGGCCACACUGGAACUGAGACACGGUCCAGACUCCUACGGGAGGCAGCAGUAGGGAAUCUUCCGCAAUGGGCGAAAGCCUGACGGAGCAACGCCGCGUGAGUGAUGAAGGUCUUCGGAUCGUAAAACUCUGUUAUUAGGGAAGAACAUAUGUGGAAGUAACUGUGCACAUCUUGACGGUACCUAAUCAGAAAGCCACGGCUAACUACGUGCCAGCAGCCGCGGUAAUACGUAGGUGGCAAGCGUUAUCCGGAAUUAUUGGGCGUAAAGCGCGCGUAGGCGGUUUUUUAAGUCUGAUGUGAAAGCCCACGGCUCAACCGUGGAGGGUCAUUGGAAACUGGAAAACUUGAGUGCAGAAGAGGAAAGUGGAAUUCCAUGUGUAGCGGUGAAAUGCGCAGAGAUAUGGAGGAACACCAGUGGCGAAGGCGACUUUCUGGUCUGUAACUGACGCUGAUGUGCGAAAGCGUGGGGAUCAAACAGGAUUAG
rnacentral:rRNA from 1 species